CCAAAUUCUGAAAAUUUCAGACCCCCACAACUCAGAAACUAUUUGAGCUACAGGCCUACAAUUUUGCAUAGAAAGUACUUUAGUGACUAUCUAAUGGAAUGCAAAUUUCAGACUAAUUUGAAAAUGGUGCAGCAACACCCCCAAGGAAUAUCUGGUCAUUUCACCUGGAAUUACCCUACAGUUUCCCGUAGCUGAGAUGGUGUGCUUGAGCUGCAGUGAUUAGAGAACCAGCAGUGGGGACUUCACAGAUCUGCACUCUCUAAAGGAAGCAACGGCAUAGAGUGACAUCCAAGCCAUUUUAGGGCAGGGAGAGGUUAAUUUCAUGUAAAACAUAGAACUGUGAGGGUUUAAGGGUUUACUCAACGACUGGAGAGGUGCUUAAUGUUUCCUUCACCAUAGGGGGACUUGGACUCUUCAUAGACUUUAAUGUCUGGCCAAAUUCCAUAAACUGGCAAGUAAAACCUUGGUUUGGGAGGUUAAAAAAAAAAACUCCCAAAAAAUCCCCCCAAAAAAUUUCUUUGUAAUUAUGGAUAAACAUGUGGAAUUAAUAGUAAGUAAAAAGUAUUUUUAAUUUGUCUCAAAUUAGUCAGACAACUCCUCUGUCAUGACUUACACCUACGAUUUUUGCCUUCAGAACUGCUUUAGUUUUUUGUGGCAUAAAUUGAACAAGAUGCCGGAAACAUUUCUUCAGCGAAUUUGGUCCACAUUGACAUGAUGGCAUCAUACAACUGUUGCAGAUUCACCUUAGUGAUGCCAAUUCGUGAUUCCACCAUGUCCCAAAGGUGAACUGAGCUCUGGUGACCGUUGCUAGCUCCUUCAAUGCCACCUGUUUUGUGAUUCCACUCUGGAAUGUGGAUGCGGCUAAUAUCUGACCAUGCUGAAAUCGUGUGCUGCCAUCUCCUGCACCAGUCGAUUUGAGCGUGGCUGUCAUAAGCAAGUGGCUCUUUUAUUUGGGACAUUCUGCCUCAAAUUUGCUCUGCUUCUUUGUUUGCAAACAGAAACUCCUUCUGACCUUGUCUUGAGUGCUGCACUCAGCCAGUUUAGCUGAAUCACUAACUGUACAGUGUAAGUUGGUGUGACUAUCAGUAUUCAAUGACAGUCACAGUGCAUCAUUGUCUAUGGAUGUAUUAUAAUAUGCCACACAUUUCAGGUUUCCCAAGCAGUCCAAGGACAGCACACUGAGAGAGCAACAGGCCAUCAGUAGAGAAGCGGUGGGGACCAAGAGGAGAUGGAUACCGGGGGAUCAUAAUUAUGUAUGCAGCAACCAUUUCAGGGAGGAGGACUUCAUCCUCUCAAAACAUGCGCAACACAAGCUUCUCAGGCCAGGGGCUGUACCAUCCCUCAAUUUGGGGAAACCAGAGAAAAAGGUUAUGUUCCUUAAUUGUUAAUGGUUGCUCAUUAUUUCAAUUUAGUACUUUUCUUUUCUUGUCAGCUUUACUAAAACAGUUCUAUUUAGAAAUCAGUGACAAAGGUGUGCACAUGCAGUGCUAUUAAAAAAAGUCACAAAGAGGACAAGUUUAACCUAUGACUAUGAAAUUUGCCAUGCAUAUGUCAGUGUGAACAAAAAUGUCUUUUGGAGUCAUGUUCUGAAUGCAACAGGAAGUCUGUCAUUUUGAAGUGGAUGUCAGAUUUUGGUCAUUUUCAGCAAUUAAUUCUUCACAGGUGGUAACUCCACAACACCUGAAAUUGGGACAUAUAUACAACACGCAUUUAGGUUGAAUAUUUAUGAAAAUUGCAAAUUAGACUCAAAGGGUGUGGCCAGAGGGGCUGACUGAACUUUGAUGGUUCAUCAUGAAGCAUGAUGUGCUGUAUAAAUGCCGCCUACAUACUGCAGUCUGCCUGAAAGUUUAUGUGAUUGAUCACAGUCCUGCAGUGAUGACAUCCAUAUGCCAAUGUGCACUCAGUCAUAGCAUCACCUGCUGUAGAGGAAAUAACAUGUUUUACACUUUAAUGUUGUACUAUACUUUUAAUAAAUUUAUCUGUACUUUUUUCAUUUACUUUAAAUUAACUUCUUUUCUAUUUGUUGUUGCAAUUAGUGUCUUACAUGCUUUUAUUUUUUCCAUUUCUUUUCUUUCUUUGGCUGUUUUACUCAAUCAGUUUUAAUUAUUCUAGAAAUGAGUGUCCAUUGUAUUCAAUGAACCUUUUCUGAUUAAAGUGACUUCAUUUUUUAUUACACUACUUACUUUAUUUUUUACAUUUUACUCUGAAAAACCUCUGUGUAUGUUAAGGUACUCCAUAAAUAAUGCUACUUGAUUUCUUGCUCAAGAACUUUUUUGCAAGCUGUUCUUGUUGACGUGUUUGUGGAACUUUCAUAAAAGUUCUUUGACA